UUAAAUUGAAGAGUUUGAUCAUGGCUCAGAUUGAACGCUGGCGGCAGGCCUAACACAUGCAAGUCGAACGGUAACAGAAAGCAGCUUGCUGCUUUGCUGACGAGUGGCGGACGGGUGAGUAAUGUCUGGGAAAGUGCCUGAUGGAGGGGGAUAACUACUGGAAACGGUAGCUAAUACCGCAUAACGUCGCAAGACCAAAGAGGGGGACCUUCGGGCCUCUUGCCAUCGGAUGUGCCCAGAUGGGAUUAGCUAGUAGGUGGGGU
rnacentral:rRNA from 1 species